rnacentral:ncRNA from 1 species
UGAGUGUUAUGAUGUUGGAAUUAUAAUAAUUCUUAGUCUAGCUCUGGUCUACCACUAGGAGAGGCUCCUAGUG